UAAUGACGUUCUGUUUUUUUC
rnacentral:piRNA from 1 species